rnacentral:rRNA from 1 species
GAUCAUGGCUCAGGAUGAACGCUAGCUACAGGCUUAACACAUGCAAGUCGAGGGGCAGCAUGAACUUAGCUUGCUAAGUUUGAUGGCGACCGGCGCACGGGUGAGUAACACGUAUCCAACCUGCCGAUGACUCGGGGAUAGCCUUUCGAAAGAAAGAUUAAUACCCGAUGGCAUAGUUCUUCCGCAUGGUAGAACUAUUAAAGAAUUUCGGUUCAUCGAUGGGGAGUGCGUUCCUAUUAGG